CUACAAAGAGAAUAAAAGACCUAGGAAUACAAUUCACAAGGGAUGUGAAGGACCUCUUCAAGGAGAACUACAAACCACUGCUCAAGGAAAUAAGAGAGGAUACAAACAGAUAAAAAAAAAUCCAUGCUUAUGGUUAGGAAGAAUCAAU